CGCGUGAGGAACCUGCCUUCCAGAGGGGGACAACAGUUGGAAACGACUGCUAAUACCGCAUGAUGCAUUGAAGUCGCAUGGCUUUGAUGUCAAAGAUUUAUCGCUGGAAGAUGGCCUCGCGUCUGAUUAGCUAGUUGGUGAGGUAACGGCCCACCAAGGCGACGAUCAGUAGCCGGACUGAGAGGUUGGCCGGCCACAUUGGGACUGAGACACGGCCCAAACUCCUACGGAAGGCAGCAG
rnacentral:rRNA from 1 species